UGGGGGGCUUCCUGAGCUACAUCUAGGGAGCUGGGAUCAUCUGUCUCUGGCAUUUGUAGAGACUGCAGUUCACCUGUGGAAGGAUCCACUUCUUUGGAAGAUAAGUGGGUCCAGUCCUCAUCACCCCCUGACGAACUGCUUGACUCGCUGUGUUCCUGAAAUGGAAAGAAAAGAGGUCCAGGUGCUGCAGCGCUUUCCAGAUUCCACACUGUGCUGUGAAGUCCCAGCUUCUCUGGCUCCUCCACCACCGCUCUCCUUUAGCAGACCAUCCCCUCUUACCUCCAGCAGCGGGUGGACUGGAGGCAGCAGCAUCGGCUUGGGCCUGUUCCGAGUUCUGGCAUGGAGCUGCAGGUCCGGGAUACCCCCAGCAGUGCAUCCAGGGGAAGGGUGGAACACCGUGCCGCAUCUUCCGGAGCCAGCGCCCUCUGGGAUACCA